rnacentral:rRNA from 1 species
UACAGAGGUCUCAAGCGUUGUUCGGAUUCAUUGGGCGUAAAGGGUGCGUAGGUGGCGCGGUAAGUCGGGUGUGAAAUUUCGGAGCUUAACUCCGAAAUUGCAUUCGAUACUGCCGUGCUCGAGGACUGGAGAGGAGACUGGAAUUCAUGGUGUAGCAGUGAAAUGCGUAGAGAUCAUGAGGAAGACCAGUGGCGAAGGCGGGUCUCUGGACAGUUCCUGACACUGAGGCACGAAGGCCAGGGGAGCAAACGGG